AACGAACGCUGGCGGCAUGCCUAACACAUGCAAGUCGAACGAGACCUUCGGGCUUAGUGGUGCACGGGUGCGUAACGCGUGGGAACCUGCCCUUAGGUUUGCAAUAACUUCCCGAAAGGCGUGCUAAUACCGGAUAUUGUACUCGGUCCAAAGAUUUAUCGCCUUUGGAUGGGCUUGGGAUGGCUUAGUUAGUUGGUAGGGUAAAAGCGUAUCAAGGCGAGGAUCCAUAGCUGGUUAGAGAGGAUGAGCAGCCACACUGGUACUGAGACACGGCCCAGACUCCUACGCGAUGCGGCAGUGGAGAAUAUUGGACUGUGGGCGAUGGGCUGAUCCAGCAAGGCCGGGUAAGUAAUGAAGGCCGUAGGGUUGUGAAGCACUUUUACACGGUGUGAUAUUGACAUUACCGGGAGAAUAAGCUCCGGCUAACUCCGUG
rnacentral:rRNA from 1 species